GACAUAUUCCGGUUGAUCCUGCCGGAGGCCAUUGCUAUCGGAGUCCGAUUUAGCCAUGCUAGUUGCACGAGUUCAGACUCGUAGCAUAUAGCUCAGUAACACGUGGCCAAACUACCCUACAGACCGCGAUAACCUCGGGAAACUGAGGCCAAUAGCGGAUAUAACUCUUAUGCUGGAGUGCCGAGAGUUAGAAACGUUCCGGCGCUGUAGGAUGUAGCUGCGGCCGAUUAGGUAGAUGGUGGGGUAACGGCCCACCAUGCCGAUAAUCGGUACAGGUUGUGAGAGCAAGAGCCUGGAGACGGUAUCUGAGACAAGAUACCGGGCCCUACGGGGCGCAGCAGGCGCGAAACCUUUACACAGCACGACAGUGCGAUAGGGGGACUCCGAGUGUGAGGGCAUAUAGCCCUCGCUUUUCUGUACCGUA
rnacentral:rRNA from 1 species